rnacentral:rRNA from 1 species
GAUGAGUGGCGGACGGGUGAGUAAUGUCUGGGAAUCUGCCUGAUGGAGGGGGAUAACUUCUGGAAACGGUAGCUAAUACCGCAUAACGUCGCAAGACCAAAGAGGGGGACCUUCGGGCCUCUUGCCAUCAGAUGUGCCCAGAUGGGAUUAGCUAGUAGGUGGGGUAACGGCUCACCUAGGCGACGAUCCCUAGCUGGUCUGAGAGGAUGACCAGCCACACUGGAACUGAGACACGGUCCAGACUCCUACGGGAGGCAGCAGUGGGGAAUAUUGCACAAUGGGCGCAAGCCUGAUGCAGCCAUGCCGCGUGUAUGAAGAAGGCCUUCGGGUUGUAAAGUACUUUCAGCGGGGAGGAAGG